UACGUAGGGGGCUAGCGUUGUCCGGAAUCAUUGGGCGUAAAGCGCGCGUAGGCGGCCCGGUAAGUCCGUUGUGAAAGUCAAAGGCUCAACCUUUGAAAGCCGAUGGAUACUGCCGGGCUGGAGUCCGGAAGAGGCGAGUGGAAUUCCUGGUGUAGCGGUGGAAUGCGCAGAUAUCAGGAGGAACACCAAUGGCGAAGGCAGCUCGCUGGGACGGUACUGACGCUGAGGCGCGAAAGCGUGGGGAGCAAACAGG
rnacentral:rRNA from 1 species